CCGCCUGCGGAUGUAGUAAGUGUAGCAGCUGUUGCAGCCACGGCAGCCACCACUCCCACCACAGCAAGCACGGCAUCCCCAUCCCCAUCCCCUACCCCAUGAGCGGAGGCAGCAGCGGCGGCAGUCACACCAACUUCCUCCCCAUCAUCCUCACUACAGCGGGAUAAAAGAACAGUUUCAGAUUUAUGCCGCGAAGGAACAACGACCACUUUCGUCAAAAUAAACUUUUGAAUUGAGCA